rnacentral:rRNA from 1 species
UACGCAGGGGGCUAGCGUUGCUCGGAAUGCCUGGGCGUAAAGGGCGCGUAGGCGGCUUGCACCGUCAGAUGUGAAAUUCCUGGGCUUAACCUGGGGGCUGCAUUUGAUACGUGUGGGCUUGAGUGCGGAAGAGGGUCGUGGAAUUCCCAGUGUAGAGGUGAAAUUCGUAGAUAUUGGGAAGAACACCGGUGGCGAAGGCGGCGACCUGGUCCGUGACUGACGCUGAGGCGCGAAAGCGUGGGGAGCAAACAGG